GAGCUUUCCUUGAUCAACUAUGCACCAAAAUUGUGGAGACUGAUAUGGGAGUUUCUACAACCUUUGUGGGAAAUUAUUCCGAGUAUGUUCUUGCAAAAGCAACAAGGAUAGAAGCUCAGUUUGCAGCAUGGGAGAAGCAACAAAAAGAGAUUGAGCACACUAAGGACUUGAUAAGCAGAUUGGGCGCUGGAGCUAACUCUGGACGUGCA
rnacentral:misc_RNA from 1 species